rfam:Termitomyces sp. J132 unplaced genomic scaffold scaffold54, whole genome shotgun sequence.
GGCGCUAUAGCCAAGUGGUUACGGCGACAGAUUAGAAUGGUCUCUCAUUCAAACGAAUUAUCUGUUCCUCUUCGAGGGCGCAGGUUCGAAUCCUGCUGGCGUCG